rnacentral:rRNA from 1 species
CCUACGGGAGGCAGCAGUGGGGAAUAUUGCACAAUGGGGGAAACCCUGAUGCAGCGACGCCGCGUGAGUGAAGAAGUAUUUCGGUAUGUAAAGCUCUAUCAGCAGGGAAGAAAAUGACGGUACCUGAUUAAGAAGCCCCGGCUAACUACGUGCCAGCAGCCGCGGUAAUACGUAGGGGGCAAGCGUUAUCCGGAUUUACUGGGUGUAAAGGGGGCGUAGACGGCAGCACAAGUCUGGAGUGAAAUGCCGGGGCUUAACCCCGGAACUGCUUUUGACACUGUGGAGCUAGAGUGCAGGAGAGGUAGGUGGAAUUCCUAGUGUAGCGGUGAAAUGCGUAGAUAUUAGGAGGAACACCAGUGGCGAAGGCGGCUUACUGGACUGUAACUGACGUUGAGGCUCGAAAGCGUGGGGAGCAAACAGGAUUAGAUACCCUAGUAGUC